rnacentral:rRNA from 1 species
AAUCAACGCUGGCGGCGCGCUUAACACAUGCAAGUCGAACGAGAAAGCCGGGGCAACCUGGUGAGUAAAGUGGCGUACGGGUGAGUAACACGUGGGUAAUCUACCUUCUGGUGGGGGAUAACCCUGGGAAACCGGGGCUAAUACCGCAUAACCCCGCAAGGGAAAGCAGCAAUGCGCUGGAAGAGGAGCCCGCGGCCGAUUAGCUAGUUGGUAGGGUAAUGGCCUACCAAGGCUGUGAUCGGUAGCCGGCCUGAGAGGGCACACGGCCACACUGGCACUGAAACACGGGCCAGACUCCUACGGGUGGCUG